UUAAGGUGGGCACUCUAAGGAGACUGCCGGUGACAAACCGGAGGAAGGUGGGGAUGACGUCAAGUCAUCAUGGCCCUUACGGCCUGGGCUACACACGUGCUACAAUGGUCGGUACAGAGGGUUGCCAAGCCGCGAGGUGGAGCUAAUCUCACAAAACCGAUCGUAGUCCGGAUCGCAGUCUGCAACUCGACUGCGUGAAGUCGGAAUCGCUAGUAAUCGCGAAUCAGAAUGUCGCGGUGAAUACGUUCCCGGGCCUUGUACACACCGCCCGUCACACCAUGGGAGUGGGUUGCACCAGAAGUAGCUAGUCUAACCUUCGGGGGGACGGUUACCACGGUGUGAUUCAUGACUGGGGUGAAGUCGUAACAAGGUAGCCGUAGGGGAACCUGCGGCUGGAUCACCUCCUUAAUCGACGAC
rnacentral:rRNA from 1 species